GGUAACUUAAAUUAUUUAUAAUUAAAGUUCACGAAAUAGUACGAGCUAAAAAAAUUUAAUCUAUAGAAAAAUAAUUGGCUGUAGCAACAUUUAAUAUAAAAUAUCUUUUAGGGGCGAAAUACCUAUCAAGUACUAUGAUAUCUUGUUUAUUAAGAAAUAUAUUUAGUAUGUAGACAUUUUAGUAAUGAUAAGGUUAUUAAAUACCAUUAUAAGUAUAAAGGAUUAUGUAAAUUGUAUAAUAGCUAUUAUAUAGGCAAUAAUAACACUAUUUUUAUUAUAAUAUAUGGAUACUAUUAAUAUAUGUAGGUAAUGACUGAUUACAUUAAUAAUGUUAUAAUUAGUAUUUAAAUAUAUAUUUUAUAGGAAUUCGGCAAAAAUAUUUCUCAACUGUUUACCAAAAACAUUGCUCCAAGAAAUUAUUUUGGGUUUACCCUGCUCAAUGGUUAAUCUAAAUAGCCGCAGUACCUUGACUGUGCAAAGGUAGCAUAAUCAUUUGGCUUAUAAUUGAAGUCUAGUAUGAAUGGGUCCAUGGGAAAUAACUAUCUUUAUUUUACUUAAAAAAUUUACUCAAUAAGUGAAAAUUCUUAUAUAUAUAUAAUAGACGAGAAGACCCUAGAAAUUUUUAAUAUUAAUUACAUAAGUGGUUUUUUGUUGGGGCGACAUUGUAACAAAAAACUUACAUAAUAUAAUAUGACCUAUUUGUAUUGUAUAAAUAAAUUACUCUAGGGAUAACAGCAUAAUUUAAUAGAGUUUGUGACCUCGAUGUUGGACUAGGGAAUAUGUUAUCCAGAAGAUAAUUGUUUUUGCUCUGUUCGAGCAUUUAUACCUACAUGAUCUGAGUUCAGACCGG
rnacentral:rRNA from 1 species